rnacentral:rRNA from 1 species
CCUACGGGAGGCAGCAGUGAGGAAUAUUUGUCAAUGGACGCAAGUCUGAACCAGCCAUGCCGCGUGCAGGAAGACGGCUCUAUGAGUUGUAAACUGCUUUUGUACGAGGGUAAACGCAGAUACGCGUAUCUGUCUGAAAGUAUCGUACGAAUAAGGAUCGGCUAACUCCGUGCCAGCAGCCGCGGUAAUACGGAGGAUUCAAGCGUUAUCCGGAUUUAUUGGGUUUAAAGGGUGCGUAGGCGGUCGGAUAAGUUAGAGGUGAAAGCCCGAGGCUCAACUUCGGAAUUGCCUCUGAUACUGUUCGGCUAGAGAGUAGUUGCGGUAGGCGGAAUGUAUGGUGUAGCGGUGAAAUGCUUAGAGAUCAUACAGAACACCGAUUGCGAAGGCAGCUUACCAAGCUACUUCUGACGUUGAGGCACGAAAGCGUGGGGAGCAAACAGGAUUAGAUACCCCUGUAGUC